rnacentral:rRNA from 1 species
CGCACGGGUGAGUAACACGUAUCCAACCUGCCGUCUACUCUUGGCCAGCCUUCUGAAAGGAAGAUUAAUCCAGGAUGGCAUCAUGAGUUCACAUGUCCGCAUGAUUAAAGGUAUUUUCCGGUAGACGAUGGGGAUGCGUUCCAUUAGAUAGUAGGCGGGGUAACGGCCCACCAAGACUACGAUGGAUAGGGGUUCUGAGAGGAAGGUCCCCCACAUUGGAACUGAGACACGGUCCAA